AUACUUACCUGGCAGGGGAGAUACUGUGAUCACAGAGAUGGUUUUCCCAGGGUGAAGCUUAUCCAUUGCAUUCCAGAUGUGCUGACCCCCACAAUUUCCCCAAAUGUGGGACACUUGACUGCAUAAUUUGUGCUGGUAGGGGACUGCAUUCAUGCUCUCCCCUA